rnacentral:rRNA from 1 species
UACGUAGGGAGCAAGCGUUGUCCGGAAUCAUUGGGCGUAAAGCGCGCGUAGGUGGCUUCGUAAGUCCGCUGUGAAAGUCAAAGGCUCAACCUUUGAAAGCCGGUGGAUACUGUGAAGCUAGAGUACGGAAGAGGCGAGUGGAAUUCCUGGUGUAGCGGUGGAAUGCGCAGAGUAUCAGGAGGAACACCAAUAGCGAAGGCAGCUCGCUGGGACGUUACUGACGCUGGAGGCACGAAAGCGUGGGGAGCAAA